rnacentral:piRNA from 1 species
UCUGAGAGCUCUUGCUGAGGAGGC